AGCUCCAAUAGCGUAUAUUAAAGUUGUUGUGGUUAAAAAGCUCGUAGUUGAACCUGGGGCCUGGCUGGCCGGUCCGCCUCACCGCGUGCACUGGUCCGGCCGGGCCUUUCCUCCUGCGGAACCCGGCGCUCUUCACUGGGCGCCGCGGGGAAGCAGGACAUUUACUUUGAAAAAAUUAGAGUGCUCCAGGCAGGCCUAUGCUCGAAUACAUUAGCAUGGAAUAAUAAAAUAGGACGUGCGGUUCUAUUU
rnacentral:rRNA from 1 species